CGUAGGCAGCGAGCGUUGUUCGGAGUUACUGGGCGUAAAGGGUGUGUAGGCGGUUGUUUAAGUUUGGUGUGAAAUCUCCCGGCUCAACUGGGAGGGUGCGCCGAAUACUGAAUGACUAGAGUGCGGGAGAGGUGAGUGGAAUUCCUGGUGUAGCGGUGAAAUGCGUAGAUAUCAGGAGGAACACCGGUGGUGUAGACGGCUCACUGGACCGUAACUGACGCUGAGACACGAAAGCGUGGGUAGCAAACAGGAUUAGAUACCCUGGUAGUCCACGCCCUAAACGAUGCAUAUUUGGUGUGGGCAGUUCAUUCUGUCCGUGCCGGAGCUAACGCGUUAAAUAUGCCGCCUGGGGAGUACAGUCGCAAGGCUG
rnacentral:rRNA from 1 species